CUGCGAAGGGACUAAAUCUUGUCGUGAAAACAAUAAGAUCUGGUCCUUAUUACUGUAAGUUGAGUGCUACAAAUAAGGCCACCCAAUUUUUUCCUUAAUAAAAAUGAAAGAAUUUUAGAUAUAAAAAAACCCUGGACUAAAUCUCUCUCCCAAAUUACCAUUCUAUUUCUAAAAACCCUUACUAUAACCUCGCCACUAUUCCAGAAUCAUCUAUAGGUCUGAUCCCCACUAAGAAACCCUAAACCUUUAUUCUCUACACGCUAAAUAAUGAAGAUGACUUUCGCUUUGCCUCUCUACAUUCGCGGCUUUUAUAACCAUUCCACAUUCGGUAAAGCUUUUCUUUCUCCAGUUGCUUAGUUUCUUCUUUUUCUUUUUGGUUCCUCUAUAAAUAUUCUAAAAGUAUUUUCCCGAAAUCAAAUGUGACUUUCGUUGGUGCUGAUUUUGGAUUUAUUUUUUUCCAGAUGUAGCGUGUAAUUGAGUUUCAAAGCCUAACACCAUGGCACUGGGAGGCCAUAUUGGACAGUUUGAAGCAAAUUCUAUAGGAUUUGAGAAGGAGAGGAAAGAUGUGAUUGAUCUAUAGAAAAGCUUAAGAGUAAACUAAAAGGUUGGUGCGGUGCUCUGCUUUCCCUUUUUUGACGCAUUAAUUUAUAAGUUACCACUUACCACCUAUUUAGCAUUCUUCUAGAUGCUCUUUUGCUCCUUGAUUUGCUAGAUCUGAGCCCUUCAGAGAUAAAUUAAAUUUGAGAAGAUUGUUAAGAGAAUCCAUGAGGUUGUUGAUGGCCUAGAAAAGAGAUUUGGAUAGAACACUUCUCACAUUUAUUAUGGAGUGACAAAUAACUCCAAAGAAUUUCAGUAGCACUUAUUUAAAGCAAUUUUGCAUUAAGUUGGCAUAUAUAUAUUAACAAAUAAUUUGGCAUAGUCAGGCUUAAUUUUUUUGGCAUAUUAGAUCGGCUUUGCACUUAACGAUGGAGGCUGGAGUGCUUGAUCAAGGAGGGUGGCUCGCACAGUUGAUCAUGGUAAAUACAUUAGUGUGGUCAAAUUUCUCAAUCCAUGUAAAUGUUUUUGGAGGCUGAAUUUGCAGGUCAAGUUGAAGGUUUUGAAGACAUACAUGUUGGCGAUCAUUUUGCUAUAAAUAUUAUACAGAACUUUAUAUCAUAGUUUAGGGAUAGAUUUUUGCUUAGGGGUUGAGUAAAAGUUGUGACCCACAUCAUAGAUGUUAAUCAUUUUUUGUAAUUAAUGACUAUUAUAUAUAUAUAAAAGUAGGAUUUAUCUUUGUA